rnacentral:rRNA from 1 species
AUACGUAGGGGGCGAGCGUUGUCCGGAAUGAUUGGGCGUAAAGGGCGCGUAGGCGGCGCGGGAAGUCUGGAGUGAAAGUCCUGCUUUCAAGGUGGGAAUUGCUUUGGAUACUGCCGCGCUUGAGUGCAGGAGAGGUUAUCGGAAUUCCCGGUGUAGCGGUGAAAUGCGUAGAGAUCGGGAGGAACACCAGUGGCGAAGGCGGGUAACUGGACUGCAACUGACGCUGAGGCGCGAAAGUGUGGGGAGCAAACAGGAUUAGAUACCCUGGUAGUCCACACUGUAAACGAUGAAUGCUAGGUGUAAGAGGUAUCGACCCCUUUUGUGCCGGAGUCAACACAAUAAGCAUUCCGCCUGGGGAGUACGGCCGCAAGGUUGAAACUCAAAGGAAUUGACGGGG